rnacentral:lncRNA from 1 species
UGUUUAUUGAAAAUCGUACCAAGACGUGUUAAAUUCUUGUUUUUAUUAGCACAUUCCUUAGGAGUCCUAAUGAUGGCAUAUUCAUUCAGUCCUCUGAGAAAAGACCCAGAAUACUCAAUUAGCAGAACAGUAGCCUAGGAAAAACAAAUAAACAAACAAACAAUAACAACAACAACAAAAAAAAACACACUGAUUCAGUUCAUCAGGGGAUUAGAGGAAAAACAGAUAAGGCCAACGGGACUGCAAGUCUGAGCAUCAGGUGAAAGAAGCAGCCAAAAGGGGGAAAAAAGGGAUGUGAGUCACCAGAUCUGCUAUCUCAUCAAAGCGAUAUGAAGUAUAGUAGAAGGCAGGAAGCAGAAAGCAAAGCAGAAAGAAACUCUGAGGUGAUGAAGUUAUCAAAGCUCUGGACCCGCAAACCUUCUCUAAGCAUGACUGUUUUCCUAUGAAGCCACAUAAGGAUCAGGCCCUGCUUCUGACCAGGAUCAUUACAAAAGACAUGGGAAGGUGGAAGGAAAUAUUCUCCAGGGAAGAGUAAAAAUGGCACUGUACCAAACAGAAAGCCCACAGAGCUCCUCUGGACCAACAGUUACACAGCUGGAGCUCUUUUCAGCUGCUCUGGAGAAAUGUACUUUGAACUAUUUUUAGUGUUUUAUCACUUUUCCAUGAAAAAUCACUUAGACUGAAACAUAGCACUCAAAGAUACGAUAUGAGAGUGUGAAGGAUUUCAUAAAAAUCCUCUAAAAAAGAAAGAAAGAAAGAAAUAUAUUGUGCUUAAUUCUAAGUUAAAUAUACACAAAGAAAAACAAAUAGGCUUACCAGUUUGAACUGCUUUCCCUCCCUUAUGCUUGUGGAACUUAAACAAGCUUUUAUUUGAAACAUGGUAUUUUCCAGACCCUUAAGACCUUUGCUUGAAUUAGGCAUUCCUGGAAUUUCUGAUUUAAAAUUGAAAUGACUGAGUGGCAAAUACAACAGAAUAAGAGCACAAGCUCUGUGCUUUGGUAACUUUAUUUAUAGCAUGUUUUAUUGCAUGUAUCAAUAUUAA